GUGGGCGUAGCUCAAUGGUUAGAGCACUGGACUGUGGCUCCAGGUGUUGGGGGUUCGAGUCCCCUCACUCACCCCA
rnacentral:tRNA from 1 species